UUAACACCCUGGAAAACAGAUUGCUAAAUACCGUAUAAACAGGAAAAAACCCGCAUGGUUUUCUUUUUAAAAGAAUGGCUCUGCUUAUUCACUUCUGGAAUGGACCCCGCGGCGUAUAAGCUAGUUGGUGAGGUAAAGGCUCACCCAAGGCAGUGAUACGUAGCCGACCUGAGAGGGUAAUCGGCCCACAUUGGGACUGAGACACGGCCCCAGACUCCUACGGGAGGCAGCAGUAGGGAAUCUUUCCACAAUGGACGCAAGUCUGAUGGAGCAACGCCGCGUGAGUGAAGAAGGGUUUCGGCUCGUAAAGCUCUGUUGUUAAAGAAGAACGUGGGUAAGAGUAACUGUUUACCCAGUGACGGUAUUUAACCAGAAAGCCACGGCUAACUACGUGCCAGCAGCCGCGGUAAUACGUAGGUGGCAAGCGUUAUCCGGAUUUAUUGGGCGUAAAGCGAGCGCAGGCGGUCUUUUAAGUCUAAUGUGAAAGCCUUCGGCUCAACCGAAGAAGUGCAUUGGAAACUGGGAGACUUGAGUGCAGAAGAGGACAGUGGAACUCCAUGUGUAGCGGUGAAAUGCGUAGAUAUAUGGAAGAACACCAGUGGCGAAGGCGGCUGUCUGGUCUGCAACUGACGCUGAGGCUCGAAAGCAUGGGUAGCGAACAGGAUUAGAUACCCUGGUAGUCCAUGCCGUAAACGAUGAUUACUAAGUGUUGGAGGGUUUCCGCCCUUCAGUGCUGCAGCUAACGCAUUAAGUAAUCCGCCUGGGGAGUACGACCGCAAGGUUGAAACUCAAAAGAAUUGACGGGGGCCCGCACAAGCGGUGGAGCAUGUGGUUUAAUUCGAAGCUACGCGAAGAACCUUACCAGGUCUUGACAUCUUCUGACAGUCUAAGAGAUUAGAGGUUCCCUUCGGGGACAGAAUGACAGGUGGUGCAUGGUUGUCGUCAGCUCGUGUCCUGAGAUGUUGGGGUUAAGUCCCGCAACGAGCGCAACCCUUUAUUACUAGUUGGCCAGCAUUAAAGUUGGGGCACUCCUAGUGGAAACUGCCCGGUGACAAAACCGGAAGGAAGGGUGGGGAACAACGUCCAAAUCAUCCAUGCCCCCUUAUGGACCUGGGGGCUACACACCGUGGCUACAAAUGGGAUGGGUACAACCAGGUUCCCGAGAACCCGCGAGGGUUAAGCCUAAAUUCCUCUUAAAAACCAUUUCUCCAGUUUCGGAAACUGUAGGGCCUGCAA
rnacentral:rRNA from 1 species